rnacentral:lncRNA from 1 species
CACAAUUUUAUAUAAAAAAUAUGCCACAAAGCAACAAUUCACAAUAACAAUAAUUCUAUUAUGCAUUAACCAAAUAUAUAAACAAGAAAAUCCAUAACUGAAAUAUUGCAUUCUCAUCUAUUGUUUUCCCUUCUACAGAGUGUAUUUGUAGAGUAGAUUAAAGAAAUGUCCCAUUAUUAUGUAGAAAAGUAAAGUGCAUCGUUAUUACAAGCUCUUUGAUUGGAGAUUUCUAAUUUAUGAAUAAAUUAAUGUAACCGUGGAGACAAUAGUCUGCUGAAGACAAUAAUGAUGCACUUCGUAAUCAAUCAUGCUCUGACAACAUAUUUUGUCCUCUAUAUACUUCAUUACAUUCACCAUAUUACAUCAUCAAAACUUCUAAACAUUUUUCCAUGAAGUUCCAAAGAAAAAUUAUUCUAUAUUCCAACAAGAAAACUAUAUCCAUUUUAAAUUGUUGAAAAGUUUUGAACCUAAGGAGUAAAUUUUUCUCCUGUUAUAAAUGUUCAAAAAAGGCAAACUCAAUAAUGCUGACAAUUGAUAUAUAAUGCAUUAUCCUUAGAAAUAAAAUAAACAACAAACUGGUUAAAAUAUCAAACAAAGUUAAGUUUAACUUACUCUUGAAAAACAGGACAGACUAGUCAUUUGUACAGAUGUAUUUUGAUAUUUUGCUCAUAUCUCUUUGGGAUUUUGCUUUACUAUCAGAUGUAAUUAUUUUUUACAUUAGGAAAUGUAACCAAGAUUUUUUUUUAACUGGAUUAAGAAUUUUAGAAUAAUCUGAAUAUGGAGGUUCAUAUUUAGGUUACUUUCUCUUGUAUUUCAGUAUGAACUGAUUGACAACCUUAACCAGAUGCUCCGCAGGGCGCAGCUUUAUACGACCGCAGAGGUUGAACCCUGAACGGUUGGGGCAAGUAUGGACACAACAUUCAAGCUGGAUUCAGCUCUAAAUUUGGAUUGUGAUUAAAUAGUUGACACAGCAUAGGUUUCUGACACAGAAUGAAUGUGGUCUAAUGAACUUAAAAAAAAAUAUGUUUGCCUUUGAACAAUUCACUAUGCUGUUGAAUAUUAAUCCUCUCAAAAAAAUGUUUGAAGAAAUUUUCUUUUUAUUUAUGAAAUCUGAAAUGAAAAAAAUUGACCCCCCCAAUUUUUUUUUCACAUCCCCCUUUCCCUUAUUUCAAAACUGAUCUCAAUUCAAAUUUCUAAUGAAGUUUGCAACAAUAACUACUCAUUUAAAUACAUCAUAAAAUAUUAAAA